rnacentral:rRNA from 1 species
CGGCGGAACACGUGAAAUUCCGUCGGAAUCCGGGAGGACCAUCUCCCAAGGCUAAAUACUCCCUAGUGACCGAUAGUGAACCAGUACCGUGAGGGAAAGGUGAAAAGCACCCCGGAAGGGGAGUGAAACAGUUCCUGAAACCGUGUGCCUACAAGUAGUUAGAGCCCGUUAAUGGGUGAUAGCGUGCCUUUUGUAGAAUGAACCGGCGAGUUACGAUUUGUUGCAAGGUUAAGCGGAAAAAGCGGAGCCGUAGCGAAAGCGAGUCUGAAUAGGGCGCAUAAGUAACAGGUCGUAGACCCGAAACCAGGUGAUCUACCCAUGUCCAGGAUGAAGGUAAGGUAAUACUUACUGGAGGUCCGAACCCACGCACGUUGAAAAGUGCGGGGAUGAGGUGUGGGUAGCGGAGAAAUUCCAAUCGAACUUGGAGAUAGCUGGUUCUCUCCGAAAUAGCUUUAGGGCUAGCCUCGAGGUAAAGAGUCAUGGAGGUAGAGCACUGUUUGGACUAGGGGCCCUUCUCGGGUUACCGAAUUCAGAUAAACUCCGAAUGCCAUGUACUUAUACUCGGGAGUCAGACUGCGAGUGAUAAGAUCCGUAGUCGAAAGGGAAACAGCCCAGACCACCAGUUAAGGUCCCCAAAUAUAUGUUAAGUGGAAA